rnacentral:rRNA from 1 species
ACACGGAGGGUGCAAGCGUUACUCGGAAUCACUGGGCGUAAAGCGCGCGCAGGCGGCUAUUUAAGUUGGAUGUGAAAGCCUACGGCUCAACCGUAGAACUGCAUCCAAAACUAUUUAGCUAGAGUGUGGGAGAGGAAGAUGGAAUUAGUUGUGUAGGGGUAAAAUCCGUAGAGAUAACUAAGAAUACCAAAAGCGAAGGCAAUCUUCUGGAACACUACUGACGCUGAGGCGCGAAAGCGUGGGGAGCAAACGGGAUUAGAAACCCUAGUAGUCC